AUUGAACGCUGGCGGCAGGCUUAACACAUGCAAGUCGAGCGGAGUGAUGGUGCUUGCACUAUCACUUAGCGGCGGACGGGUGAGUAAUGCUUAGGAAUCUGCCUAUUAGUGGGGGACAACAUCUCGAAAGGGAUGCUAAUACCGCAUACGUCCUACGGGAGAAAGCAGGGGAUCACUUGUGACCUUGCGCUAAUAGAUGAGCCUAAGUCGGAUUAGCUAGUUGGUGGGGUAAAGGCCUACCAAGGCGACGAUCUGUAGCGGGUCUGAGAGGAUGAUCCGCCACACUGGGACUGGGACCCGGCCCAGACUCCUACGGGAGGCAGCAGUGGGGAAGCUUGCGCAAUGGGCGAAAGCCUGACGCAGCGACGCCGCGCGCGGGAAGAAGGCCUUAGGGUUGUAAACCGCUUUCAGGAGAGACGAAGCCACUCGGGUUAAUAGCCCAGAGGGUGACGGUACCUCCAGAAGAAGCCCCGGCUAACUACGUGCCAGCCGCCGCAGUAACAC
rnacentral:rRNA from 1 species